rnacentral:rRNA from 1 species
AGAGUUUGAUCCUGGCUCAGGAUGAACGCUGGCGGCGUGCUUAACACAUGCAAGUCGAACGGUGAACACGGAGCUUGCUCUGUGGGAUCAGUGGCGAACGGGUGAGUAACACGUGAGCAACCUGCCCCUGACUCUGGGAUAAGCGCUGGAAACGGCGUCUAAUACUGGAUAUGUGACGUGAUCGCAUGGUCUGCGUCUGGAAAGAAUUUCGGUUGGGGAUGGGCUCGCGGCCUAUCAGCUUGUUGGUGAGGUAAUGGCUCACCAAGGCGUCGACGGGUAGCCGGCCUGAGAGGGUGACCGGCCACACUGGGACUGAGACACGGCCCAGACUCCUACGGGAGGCAGCAGUGGGGAAUAUUGCACAAUGGGCGCAAGCCUGAUGCAGCAACGCCGCGUGAGGGACGACGGCCUUCGGGUUGUAAACCUCUUUUAGCAGGGAAGAAGCGAAAGUGACGGUACCUGCAGAAAAAGCGCCGGCUAACUACGUGCCAGCAGCCGCGGUAAUACGUAGGGCGCAAGCGUUAUCCGGAAUUAUUGGGCGUAAAGAGCUCGUAGGCGGUUUGUCGCGUCUGCUGUGAAAUCCGGAGGCUCAACCUCCGGCCUGCAGUGGGUACGGGCAGACUAGAGUGCGGUAGGGGAGAUUGGAAUUCCUGGUGUAGCGGUGGAAUGCGCAGAUAUCAGGAGGAACACCGAUGGCGAAGGCAGAUCUCUGGGCCGUAACUGACGCUGAGGAGCGAAAGGGUGGGGAGCAAACAGGCUUAGAUACCCUGGUAGUCCAA